UGCGUAGGCGGCGCGGUAAGUCGGGUGUGAAAUCUCGGGGCUUAACUCCGAAACUGCAUUCGAUACUGCCGUGAUUGAGGACUGGAGAGGAGACUGGAAUUUACGGUGUAGCGGUGAAAUGCGUAGAUAUCGUAAGGAAGACCAGUGGCGAAGGCGGGUCUCUGGACAGUUCCUGACGCUGAGGCACGAAGGCCAGGGGAGCAAACG
rnacentral:rRNA from 1 species